rnacentral:lncRNA from 1 species
CUACAGAAGGUUUGUAAAGGGGUUUGCUCGAUAUGCGGCACCUCUACACAGAUUAGUGGGGGAGCUCCAAGGUAAGGGAAAGAAGCGAGGUUCAGGCACUAAUACUUUGUUGAAAGGACGAUGGACAGAAGUUUUGGAGAAUGCCUUUGUGGUUUUGAAGAGGUCGCUGGUAGAGGUCCCAGUGUUAGGCUAUGCCGAUUUCUCUAAGCCAUUUGUGUUAGAGAUAGAUGCUAGUCAGGUCGGUCUUGGUGCAGUAUUGUCUCAAGAACAGGAGGGUCAGCGGAGGCCUAUUGCUUAUGCUAGUCGGGGCUUGCGCCCUACAGAAAGGAACAUGUCAAACUACAGUUCAAUGAAACUGGAGCUCUUGGCCCUUAAGUGGGCCAUCUCCGAGAAGUUUCGGGAAUAUUUGCUGGGAGCUAAAUUUGUGGUAUUUACAGACAACAACCCCUUGAGUUAUCUGCAGACUGCAAAGUUGGCUGCCGUAGAGCAGCGUUGGGUGUCCGAGUUGGCUUUGUUUGAUUUUGAGCUGAAAUAUCGCCCUGGUACAGCCAAUCGCAAUGCGGAUGCACUCUCCCGCCUGCCCGUAGAUUUAGCUCCUAAUAGUGUUGGGGAGGUUGUUUCUGGCAUAACCUUGCCUCGGGUACUUUCAUCAGUUCAGUGUUUAAGAUCUGUUCCUAACUUUACCCUAACCUCAGAAAUAGCAGCGGUGCCUUUCCGUGAGAAAGCAGACAUGCAAGCUCUGCAGGCUGCAGAUUCUCACAUUGCUGCAUUUUUGAAAUAUUGGCGAAGAGGAGUGGCCCCUACUCGUUAUGAAAGGGCUAAGGAGUCUAGGGAAGUACUGGAGCUGGUUCGCCAGUGGAAACGUGUUCGACAGAAAGAUGGAGUUUUGUAUAGGGAAGUUUUCCUGCCUCCAGGGAAGGUUAGAGUACUACAGGUUGUAUUGCCUGGGGUCUUAAGGAAGGAAGUUUUGGAGGGUCUUCAUGACCAUCAUGGUCAUCAAGGUAUAGAGAGGACAACCACUUUGGUGAGGGAGAGAUGUUUCUGGCCCAAUCUGCGGCACGAUGUUGAACAAUGGUGUAUCAAAUGUGAGCGCUGCGUGGUCUCCAAGGCUUUACGCCCCAAAGUUCGGACAACCAUGGGGCAUUUGAUGGCAUCAAGGCCCUUGGAAAUUCUCACUAUCGAUUUUACUCUUUUAGAACGGGCAAGCAAUGGAUGUGAGAAUGUGCUUGUAGUUACCGACGUAUUUUCUAAGUUUACUCAAGCUUACCCAACUCGAGAUCAAAAGGCUAGCACUGUGGUUCGUAUCCUGACAGAGAGGUGGUUCUAUGUUUAUGGGGUGCCAAAACGUAUCCAUUCAGAUCAGGGGCGAAAUUUUGAAGGAGAAUUGCUUAAGC